rnacentral:sRNA from 1 species
AAGGAUGCCCUGUUCGUAGUGAAACAGGCUUCAUUUUGUCGUGGAGCUGCGGGGUGAGCUGGGCCUGGCUGGGCAGGUGAAAGCAUAGGGAGGCUUCCUGUAUGCAGCUGAACAAGCGGCAGCUCUCAGACUCUGCUCUUGUGGCUACCACCUAAUAGGACCACAGCCGCUUUGUCAACUGUGUGCGAUUCUCUCCUGAUGGGAACAGAUUUGCCACAGCCAGUGCUGACGGCCAGAUAUACAUCUAUGACGGGAAGACUGGGGAGAAGGUGUGCGCGCUGGGCGGAAGCAAGGCCCACGACGGUGGGAUUUACGCCAUUAGUUGGAGUCCCGACAGCACCCAUUUGCUUUCUGCUUCUGGGGACAAAACUUCCAAGAUUUGGGACGUCAACGUGAACUCCGUGGUCAGCACAUUUCCCAUGGGCUCCACGGUUCUGGACCAGCAGCUGGGCUGCCUAUGGCAGAAGGACCACCUGCUCAGUGUCUCCCUUUCCGGGUACAUCAACUAUCUGGACAGAAACAACCCCAGCAAGCCCCUGCGCGUUGUCAAGG